UCCUGGCUUAGAACGAACGCUGGCGGCGCGUUUAAGCAUGCAAGUCGAGCGGCAAGGGCCUUCGGGCCCCUAGAGCGGCGGACGGGUGAGUAACACGUGGACAAUCUGCCCCCCGGCCCGGGAUAGCCCAGGGAAACCUGGAUUAAUACCGGAUGAGACGGGACCCGCGAUGGCGGGACCCGGGAAAGGCGCUGCGGCGCCGCCGGGGGAUGAGUCUGCGUCCCAUUAGCUAGACGGCGGGGUAACGGCCCACCGUGGCGACGAUGGGUAGCCGGCCUGAGAGGGUGGACGGCCACAUUGGAACUGAGACACGGUCCAGACUCCUACGGGAGGCAGCAGCUAAGAAUCUUCCGCAAUGGGCGAAAGCCUGACGGAGCCGACGCCGCGUGAACGAAGAAGGCCGUGAGGUUGUAAAGUUCUUUUCGGGAGGGGAACAACCGUGGCAGGGAAUGGCCGCGGGAUGACGUGAAUCCCGGAAUAAGCCCCGGCUAACUACGUGCCAGCCGCAGC
rnacentral:rRNA from 1 species